rfam:Octopus bimaculoides Scaffold243819_contig_21, whole genome shotgun sequence.
GUGCCCUUGUUCAGCAGUACCCAUGCUAAAUUUGGAACGAUACAGAAAAGAUUAGCUUGGACCCUGGGCACGAAUGACGCGUAAACUCACGAAGUGUUCUUUAUGUCU